CUUGGUCAUUUAGAGGAAGUAAAAGUCGUAACAAGGUUUCCGUAGGUGAACCUGCGGAAGGAUCAUUAAAGUUUGCUUAAUUGCAUUACACAUGUUUUUUUAGAGAACUUGCUUGCAAGAACACUAAUAAUUUACUUAGUCAACAAAUAAAAAUAUCAAAACUUUCAACAACGGAUCUCUUGGUUCUCGCAUCGAUGAAGAACGCAGCGAAAUGCGAUACGUAAUAUGAAUUGCAGAUUUUCGUGAAUCAUCGAAUCUUUGAACGCACAUUGCGCCCUGUGGUAUUCCACAGGGCAUGCCUGUUUGAGCGUCAUUUCUCCCUCAAACCUCUGGUUUGGCGUUGAGUGAUACUCGGUUUACUUGAAAAACAUGAAAAGCAUAACUAUUAGGUUUUACCAACUCGUUAUACUAAUCUACAAGUUUGACCUCAAAUCAGGUAGGACUACCCGCUGAACUUAAGCAUAUCAAUAAGCGGAGGAAAAGAAACCAACCGGGAUUGCCUCAGUAACGGCGAGUGAAGCGGCAAAAGCUCAAAUUUGAAAUCUGGUCCCUUGGGGCCCGAGUUGUAAUUUGCAGAGGAUGCUUUUGGCGAGGCGCCUUCCGAGUGCCCUGGAACGGGACGCCAUAGAGGGUGAGAGCCCCGUAUGGUUGGACGCCGAGCCUACGUAAAGCUCCUUCGACGAGUCGAGUUGUUUGGGAAU
rnacentral:sRNA from 1 species